UGGGGCCGUGUUAUUCUAUUGCAGCGCUUACUGCGCGGCGAAAACCUUACACACAGUGAUUUCUUUCUUUGAAAACAUUGCUUUGGUCUGGCGCAAGUUGGGCCAAAGGUUUAUUAAACUUCAAUUUUAUAUUGAACUGUUAUUUUAACUAAAGUCAAUUUGUUGAUUAAAUUCAAAAAUCUUCAAAACUUUCAACAACGGAUCUCUUGGUUCUCGCAUCGAUGAAGAACGCAGCGAAUUGCGAUAAGUAAUAUGAAUUGCAGAUUUUCGUGAAUCAUCGAAUCUUUGAACGCACAUUGCGCCCUUUGGUAUUCCAAAGGGCAUGCCUGUUUGAGCGUCAUUUCUCUCUCAAAUCUUCGGAUUUGGUUUUGAGUGAUACUCUUAGUCGAACUAGGCGUUUGCUUGAAAAGUAUUGGCAAGAGUGGUACUUUAGGUGCUAAACUGUUUCAAUGUAUUAGGUUUAUCCAACUCGUUGAAUCUGGUUAGUUACUUUAGGGUGCUUAGGCUCGGCCUUACAACAACAAACAAAGUUUGACCUCAAAUCAGGUAGGAUUACCCGCUGAACUUAAGCAUAUCAAUAAGCGGAGGAA
rnacentral:rRNA from 1 species